UACGGGGGGAGCAGGCGUUGUUCGGAUUUACUGGGCGUAAAGGGCGCGUAGGCGGCCUCCGCAAGUCAGUUGUGAAAUCUCCGAGCUUAACUCGGAAAGGUCAACUGAUACUGCGGGGCUAAGAGUGCGGAAGGGGCAACUGGAAUUCUUGGUGUAGCGGUGAAAUGCGUAGAUAUCAAGAGGAACACCUGCGGCGAAGGCGGGUUGCUGGGCCGACACUGACGCUGGAGGCGCGAAAGCUAGGGGAGCGAACGGG
rnacentral:rRNA from 1 species